rnacentral:rRNA from 1 species
AUACGUAGGGGGCGAGCGUUGUUCGGAUUUACUGGGCGUAAAGAGCGCGUAGGCGGUUCGAUCAGUCGGAGGUGAAAGCCCUCGGCUCAACCGAGGAUCCGCGUCCGAUACUGUCGAACUUGAGUGCAGGAGGGGAGAGCGGAAUUCCCAGUGUAGCGGUGAAAUGCGUAGAUAUUGGGAGGAACACCGGUGGCGAAGGCGGCUCUCUGGACUGUUACUGACGCUGAGGCGCGAAAGCUAGGGGAGCAAACGGGAUUAGAUACCCCGGUAGUCCUAGCCGUAAACGAUGGGCACUAGGUGUGGGAGGUAUCGACCCCUUCCGCGCCGCAGCUGGCACUCUCGAG